CUGGAGAAGUGAUUGGUAAGUUUUCCUUUUUAAUUUGUUUCUUCUGUCUUUUCCUGCUGGAUUGGUUUCUAAUCUCUAACUCCUUGGUGCAGUCUCUUCUAUUAUUGCCGCUGGGGACUUGGAGCUUCCUUUUGCAGAUGAAGAAGAUGAGGUCCAGGCAGAACAAACCCUUACCGAGGCCGCUAUUUCUGGCAGAAGAAAAAGAAAAGGACCUGC
rnacentral:lncRNA from 1 species